rnacentral:lncRNA from 1 species
AAGGGAAGCACCCUGUAGAGGAGGGAGUGGUCCCUGGCUAGGGCUCCACCCCCAUGGACCUAGGUGAGGACAGGCACUUCUGCCUUCCUUCCCAAGGGUUGCAUUUUUCAAGACUACCCUGGCCAGCCACGCUCCUAUCCUGGGCCUAUAGAAACCCGAGACCCUAGCAAGGCAGAGACAGAAGCUGCUGGCCCGCCAGAGGAACACAUAGAUGGAAGAAGACAAGCAGCUGGACAUGGAGAAGACAUUGGGAGCACACUAGGGGAAGAGCACACAGACAAACGCCAGCAUGCUGACAGGGUCUCAUUCCAUCACCUAGGCUGGAGUGCAGUGGCCCCAUCUCGGCUCAUUGCAUCCUCUGCCUCCCAGGUUCAAGUGAUUCCUAUUCCUUUCAAGUGAUUCUCCUGAGGAACUAGAAUUACAGGUGUGUAGUCACCACGUCUGGUUAAUUUGUGUGUGUGUGUGUGUUUUGUUUUGUUUUUAGUAGAGAUGAGGUUGCACCAUGUUGGCCAGGCACCAGCCUCAAACUCCUGGACUCAAGUAAUCCACUGGCGUUCGUCUUCCCUGAGUACUGGGAUUGCAGGUGUGAGCUACUGCGCCCGACCUCAGCAAGCAUUUUUGAACUGUCAUGUAUUGAGCUUAGCAUUUACUAUGCAAUAUAAUAUAUAUUAUAUAAUAUAUUAUAUACAAUUCUAUAUUUUAUAUAGAAUUAUAAUAUAUAAUAUAUAUAGUGCAGUGAAUAUAUCUAUAUCUAUCUAUAUAUAUCUAUAUAUCUAUAUCUAUAUCUAUAUAUAUAUAUAAAACUGAGAGUAGCCAAAGACUGGCCAGAUGAGUCUUCCUGAGUUGGUAUUGCAGAUGAAGGUUUUGUAUGAUUUUAAAAUAUCAUUAUUAUUUAGUUUCUAGGACUGUCUUGGCUGAUACUGACUUAGCAAUAGAAAUAAUAAUAGUGCCAAACAACGCAAUCUAAAUAUAUUUAGUUUAAUAAUAUUACCUAAGUGUGCUUUUUUGUCAUUUUAAUUGAGAUGAAAUUACAAAUAUCAAUACAUUUUUAAUUACUAUAUAUUUGUUUUUAGUUCUAGAAUUCAAAAAUUAUGAAAAGCCUAUUCACUUCUGAUUCAAUAUUGGUAAUUUAUUAUUAUCAUCAUUUUUUAGAGAUAGGAUCUUGCUCUGUUGCUCAGGCUGGAGUAUAAUGGUACAAUCAUUGUUCACUGCAGCCUCGAAUUCCUAGACUCAGGCAAUGCUCCAAUCUUAGUCUCCCAAAGUGCUGGAAUUACAG